rnacentral:lncRNA from 1 species
UGGGUUUACAUCGGUUUAUUCCUAAGUACCGUAAUUGUCGACAUGUAUGAUUUUUAGUUUCGGUAAUCAUGUUGUAGCUUGAUAUUCGUGAUGCUAUCCUGGAUAUAAUCAGUAUUGAGAACAUGACUAGUAAAUCUUAAAUGUACAUGUUGGACUGAGAUUUGACUUAGGAGAAAACACGAUUGGAAUCGUCAUAUGCUUAAACUACCAGAUUUAGCUCUAGGAGCCGUGAUUCGAUUGUAUCGUUGCAGUAUCGUUGCGAUGGAUACCUGGGGUAGUUUAGAAGGCAUUUACGCUCGUGCUGGGAUGCCGAGCUUAUUUUUCAGCAGAGUUUAGGCUGUUUCGGGUCGUUGGGUGCCGUUCGGGUUAGCGGUGGACCCAGAUUCUUGUUUUGGUCACAGAUUGUGCCGAGGGCACGUGGGUUUGGUUUGUAGACCUGUUUUGACCCUGUUCACUUGACUUUGGCUAGUUGGAGCCUGAUUGAGCUUGACAGAGAUACGCUGCAUACUCGGUUAGGUAGCGCCCACGAGUGCCACUCCGGAAUCAGGCUUUGUGCUUUCGCGUUGGUGUCGCUCAUGCCAGUUAGACUUGUUCUCCACGGACCAGUUAGUGUGGAUAGAGCUUGAUAGUCGCAACGGGGCAGGGACGGGUGUAUUCACAGUCCCGGGGACGGGUAUGCUUACAGUCCCGAUUGGAUUGGGUCAGAGUUGACAUUUCCUACAGUUGGUUAGUGUAGAGCAUGAUAGUGUAGUGAUCGGUAGCGGUAGAGUUAUUUUCCUGCUUUUCUGACUACUCUUACUCCCUUCUGUAGACUUAGUGCGUGGACCGAUGUUGUUUUGGGUGGUACCCACUGAGGACUACUUGUUUUUACAGUAGUUCUCAU